rnacentral:rRNA from 1 species
AGAGAGAGACAUGCGCGCAUAUCAAUAAGCGGAGGAAAAGAAACUAACAAGGAUUCCCCUAGUAACGGCGAGUGAAGCGGGAAGAGCUCAAAUUUGAAAUCUUAAAGGGUUUCCCUUUACGAAUUGUAGUUUAAAGAAGUGUUUUCUGUUGAGGUUUUGGUAAAAGUUCUUUGGAAUAGGACAUCAUAGAGGGUGAGAAUCCCGUAUUUGACCUUUACUUUCAACUUUGUGAUACACUUUCAAAGAGUCGGAUUGUUUGGGAAUGCAGUCCAAAAUGGGUGGUAAAUUUCAUCUAAAGCUAAAUAUUGGCGAGAGACCGAUAGCGAACAAGUACCGUGAGGGAAAGAUGAAAGGAACUUUGAAAAGAGAGUUAAACAGUACGUGAAAUUGUCAAAAGGGAAGCGUUUGACACCAGUGUUGUUUUUCUGAAAAUCAAUUAAAGAACUGUUUAUGCUAAGUUGUUUAGACUUUAUCAGCUAACUGUUUAGUUUUGAGCUUUUCUUUAAUGCACUUUUCAGUUAACAAGUCAACAUCAAUUUCUUUUGCUGUAAAAAAGCUUGAGGAAGGUGGCUUGAGAUUCGUCUUAAGUGUUUAUAGCCUCUUGCCUAUGCAGUCGGAGAGAUUGAGGUCUGCAGCGUAGAUCCUUCGGGGCUAAAUGCAUUUGUGCUAAGUUAUAGCAUUUUAUAGACAACUUGUUGACUAUGAUUUGUCUUGUAGCUUACUCGCUUAUGUUAUUUUACCUACGCUUAGGAUGUUGAGCGCAUGUCUCUCUCU